UGCUUGAGCCAGAUUACUCUGUAGGCCAAGGGUGGCUGCUCACUGAAGCCAAGCAGGGUUGAGCUUGGUCAGUACAACGGUGAGAGACCACCAGGGUAAACUAGGAUGUUGCUGGAA
rnacentral:rRNA from 1 species